ACGGGUGAGUAAUGCCUAGGAAUCUGCCUGGUAGUGGGGGACAACGUCUCGAAAGGGACGCUAAUACCGCAUACGUCCUACGGGAGAAAGCAGGGGACCUUCGGGCCUUGCGCUAUCAGAUGAGCCUAGGUCGGAUUAGCUAGUUGGUGAGGUAAUGGCUCACCAAGGCGACGAUCCGUAACUGGUCUGAGAGGAUGAUCAGUCACACUGGAACUGAGACACGGUCCAGACUCCUACGGGAGGCAGCAGUGGGGAAUAUUGGACAAUGGGCGAAAGCCUGAUCCAGCCAUGCCGCGUGUGUGAAGAAGGUCUUCGGAUUGUAAAGCACUUUAAGUUGGGAGGAAGGGCAGUAAGCGAAUACCUUGCUGUUUUGACGUUACCGACAGAAUAAGCACCGGCUAACUCUGUGCCAGCAGCCGCGGUAAUACAGAGGGUGCAAGCGUUAAUCGGAAUUACUGGGCGUAAAGCGCGCGUAGGUGGUUUGUUAAGUUGAAUGUGAAAUCCCCGGGCUCAACCUGGGAACUGCAUCCAAAACUGGCAAGCUAGAGUAGGGCAGAGGGUGGUGGAAUUUCCUGUGUAGCGGUG
rnacentral:rRNA from 1 species